CACGCAGGGCCUGCCUCAGCUCAGGCCUGCUGGAGGCAGCACAGGGUAGCAGACGGAGCAACCGGACAGACGCAGGCCUUGGUCGGCCCCGCAGUUCCCUCACCCCGGCGUGUGGCUAAAGCCAAGGUCCUGACUUCGGUGAGCCUGUUUCCUCAUCUGGAAAACAGAGAUGCUAACUGCCACAGGGUCUAAAUUCUUUGCAUUGCAUUCAAAGCCCUGCCCAGCCAGACUGCCUUCCAGCUUCACCUCUGCUACCCCAGGGCCAGGCCCUCCGGACUCCUCCCCUACCCCUGCUGCGCGCCAUGUUUUCUCAGGAGGUCAGAGCUUGGUGCACAGGGAAUGACCCCAGUCCUCCUUCCCCAGGAAAAGCGAGUCGUGUCUUUCUCUCCUCUCUCAGCGUUCGCGUGCACCUCUCUCAGAGCCUUUCUGUUUGGCAAUUACCGUACUCGUGUACCUGCCUUUUCCUUUAUGGAUGAUGAGCACCUCGAGGCUGAAAAGGUCUCCUCUUCGUCUUUGUAUUCCUGAGCUCUGCCUUGAACCAGGCACCUGAUCGGUGCUGCAGGCCAGAUCGUUGGGUAAACACCUGAAUGCCCGGUGUUGGGCAAGCUCGAAAGAGACAACGGAUGCGCAAGUACUUUGUAAACUAGAAAGGACAGUGCACCUGUAUCAUGUACGUCCACCCCAAACUCUCCUCUUUAUUAUGCCAUCACAACCCUUUUCCCUGUCUACCUCAUUCCGCAUCAUGAAUUCCGUGCUCACUGCAACUCCUCAGGGACUUGACAUCUGUCACUACGACGGUACUGCUCUUUCGGUGCCAGUGUCAGGGCUAAAAGGGCCUUCGGAAAUUAUCCAAUGGUUUCUACACUGACAUCCGUGCCGAAGUCACCAGGCCACACGAAUGGAUUGAAUGAAGGGGCUCCGAGCCCUCAGCCCCACCUCUUCCACCAUUUAUACAGAAAGUUCUCAUUCAGUGGGAAACCCAUCCCGUGUAUUCUGCACAAGACACUCUUCCCACAUAGCUAAAGAGGCAAACAUAUGUCCCAGGACUUGUCUCCAUGUCCCAGGAAGAUGAAGACCACCAUAAAGGGGCACUUGAGUUGGUGAUUCUGGGUCUUACUGUGAUUUACUGAUAACCUGGCUCUCUGAAGAAAAAAGUUCCGAUUUGCAGAGCUUGCCAACUCCAUGUGUGAGUACCCCCACCAUGGCCAAAUGCAAGGACGAUCUCACAACUGGCUCGCAACAUUUCCGAAAUUUUAGCAAUUGGCUCUUGUGAGCCAGUAUAAGCACACUUAGCACACCAGCACUAUCUAAUUCUGGAACAUGGGAAUAUGAAAAUGUUCUUACUUUCCUUUCACUAUGAACUCUCUGGAGGAGUCUGAAGAAAUACA